CGAAGCGUGCGAUUGGAUUGCACGUCUAAGCAGUAAGGCUGAGUAUUAGGCAAAUCCGGUACUCGUUAAGGCUGAGCUGUGAUGGGGAGAAGACAUUGUGUCUUCGAGUCGUUGAUUUCACACUGCCGAGAAAAGCCUCUAGAUAGAAAAUAGGUGCCCGUACCGCAAACCGACACAGGUAGUCAAGAUGAGAAUUCUAAGGUGAGCGAGCGAACUCUCGUUAAGGAACUCGGCAAAAUGACCCCGUAACUUCGGGAGAAGGGGUGCUCUUUAGGGUUAACGCCCAGAAGAGCCGCAGUGAAUAGGCCCAAGCGACUGUUUAUCAAAAACACAGGUCUCUGCUAAACCGUAAGGUGAUGUAUAGGGGCUGACGCCUGCCCGGUGCUGGAAGGUUAAGAGGAGUGGUUAGCUUCUGCGAAGCUACGAAUCGAAGCCCCAGUAAACGGCGGCCGUAACUAUAACGGUCCUAAGGUAGCGAAAUUCCUUGUCGGGUAAGUUCCGACCCGCACGAAAGGCGUAACGAUUUGGGCACUGUCUCAACGAGAGACUCGGUGAAAUCAUAGUACCUGUGAAGAUGCAGGUUACCCGCGACAGGACGGAAAGACCCCGUGGAGCUUUACUGUAGCCUGAUAUUGAAAUUCGGCACAGCUUGUACAGGAUAGGUAGGAGCCUUUGAAACGUGAGCGCUAGCUUACGUGGAGGCGCUGGUGGGAUACUACCCUAGCUGUGUUGGCUUUCUAACCCGCACCACUUAUCGUGGUGGGAGACAGUGUCAGGCGGGCAGUUUGACUGGGGCGGUCGCCUCCUAAAAGGUAACGGAGGCGCUCAAAGGUUCCCUCAGAAUGGUUGGAAAUCAUUCAUAGAGUGUAAAGGCAUAAGGGAGCUUGACUGCGAGACCUACAAGUCGAGCAGGGUCG
rnacentral:rRNA from 1 species